GGAGGCCCGGGGCAGAGGAAAAAAAUUUACCACCGAUGAUUCCAUUUGUGUGCUGGGAAUAAGCAAAAGAAACGUUAUUUUUCAACCUGUGGCAGAGCUGAAGAAGCAAACGGAUUUUGAGAAUGUGUUAAAUCACUCUACUCCACAAGGAACCAAACCAAACAGCAUCAGCACCAGGCUGAGUCGCGGAAAGGAUCUGUCAGACCGCUCCACUGGCAUCGACUCAGCUCGGGAGCUACGUUCAAAGAAGGAGGACAUUUAAGGUGAAAGGGUUGCAGGCAGAGGGGCCUGGAGCAGCAGGAGGCCACCUCCCAAAGGCUCCACUCCCAGGGGCCAACAGAGAGACCACAUCCAGAAUUGAACCAGGGAUACGCAGACACCAACGGAGAAGACAUGAGCGUCAACCUCCUCCACGGAGCAGCACGGCUUCUCUACUGACAUCCAUGA
ensembl:lncRNA novel readthrough transcript, antisense to PITRM1